rnacentral:rRNA from 1 species
UGCCAGCAGCCGCGGUAACACGGGGGGCGCAAGCGUUAUUCGGAAUUACUGGGCGUAAAGAGCGCGCAGGCGGCCAAGUAAGUCGAAUGUGAAAGCCCCCGGCUCAACUGGGGAAGGUCAUUCGAUACUGCCUGGCUUGAAGAUAGGAGAGGGAAGCGGAAUUUCCGGUGUAGUGGUGAAAUGCGUAGAUAUCGGAAGGAACACCAGUGGCGAAGGCGGCUUUCUGGCCUAUUCUUGACGCUGAGGCGCGAAAGCUAGGGGAGCGAACGGGAUUAGAUA